AUUUCACUCCCAGGAAUCUAUGAUACAGAAUCGUCAUCCAUUUAUUCUCAUCUUUCUCUCUCACCUUAUACCUCUUAUCUAAUUAUAUGAAGACUCCAGAGGGAGGUCCACUGCAACAUUAACGUGCACAUUAACUUGCGCGACUCAAAGAGGAAGUGAGGAAUCGCAUUGCUGGCAUAUUUUUUAAACGUCCGUAAUUUCAAUCAGUUGUUUUGUAUGGGAGAGUUGGUUUCUUAUUUUAGAAAUGCAAUUGUACUAGAACAUCAGCUUGAUGCAAAGGAACAAACGACUAUUGCUCGGUAAAUUAUUUACGGCGACUUGCUGCGGACGCUAUACAGUGCGAUCCAGUGCCGGUCAACGGCUCGGCCAUUGCUGCAGGUACGCAGUCCCGUACUGUACCUGAGCACACACUCGGCGAGAUCAGCACCUUGGACAGAGCUAAGAGGAGACUGCUGUGGAAUCGCAAAGAAAUCGAAACCGUGCUGCCACGAAUGAGACCCAGCGUCACCAGCUGAGAAGCAGCCCUUCAGCCCCAGUGCAGCCGGCGUGUCUUGGUACCCACGCCGAACCUGAAGAGGUCGCUUUCCAAGGGUGGGAAGGCAUGGGUCGGCUGAGCGGCGUGUCGAAUCAGGACCAUCUGUCAGCCUCACUCCAGAAAGAGUUGCGAUCCAUUUGCGUCCUCCAGAGAGAAACCGAAUUCUCACCUCCCUUAUAAAAACGAUGUCAUUAUAUUUCCAAAAUAUUUAUUUAAGGUUAACAAUAUGACAAAAGACUAAUAUCCACAAUUCAUUAAGUAAAAAUCAUGAUAAUCAUCCCUUACAUCCAGCUGGAGGCAGAUGAUGACUUGAAUGCUUUGCCUUCUGAUAAAGCACCAGAUGUUUUAAAGAAACCUAAUCUAAUUGAUCAAAAACCUAUUUGAUUUACAUUUUGCAAAAGAAUGUGCAAAAUGUGCAGAAAAUGUGAUCAAUGUAUUCUUUAUAAAACCUCAUAGAUAAUUUUAUAUUAAAAAUCAGAGAUCUCAUGCCUAAUAGGACAAGUUGUAUGUACAGUAUCCAAUGGAUAAAGAAAUAUUUUAAAAUCAGAUACAGUACAUCACAAAAAUAUUGUAGAGUGCUUAGCAGCUUCCUGUCCUAUGUUAACUUAGUAAUAUGAAUGGAAGUCCUUAUGGCAAAACCUAUUUAUAUUAUUUUGCUCUAACAAGCCAGUCUCCAACCACUUCUUAGAGAAUUCUACAUUUUGCAAGGGAACACGCUAUUGAGUCAAAGCACUGAGGGAUAUUUUUAAGAUAUUCAGGAUUGUGAUGAUUAUUUCUUAACCUUUAAUUUUAAAUCCCAACUGUAUUUAUAUUGGAACAACUAUGUUGUAUUGAUCAUGAAAGUAUCUUUUAUCACUACUUUACAGUAUUAUUUAUCAGGAUUGUACCAAUCUACAGUACAUUACUCCAGUGUAUUCACAUAACACUAUUUCUGAGAAUCAGCGUCGAUUUGACCUCUCUGGCACAAUAACACACGAGACCGAAUAAAAUAUAUUAUACAAAAAAAAAACAUUCUGCACGUUUUAUUGGCUGCUGUAAGCAUUGCUACGUGCAGUACUGGAGGUGACAGGCAGUGACAGGUGGUCAGAUAGAAUUGUGUAGCACGUGCACUAACCUGCAGUGGGUGCAAAUUGCUUUUACUCCAGUGAGGUGCCAAGUCCAAGCCAGGCAUGCUGGGUUUUGGUGUGUAGCAUCUGCGAUGGUGUGCUCAAAUCCAUGUGGCAGUAUAGCGGUACAUUCUCUAUUGUUCCAUUUACAAACGCUGUUCUAUUACUGUUUCCUAUUUGUAUCUACUGUGUGUUCAUAUACAUAUAUAUAUAUUUUGUAUGUCUGUGCAAUCUUAGAUUAAAUUAAUAACAUUUA